UAGUCCACGCCGUAAACUAUGAUUACUCGUUUUCAGCGAUAUACUGCUGGAGACUAAGCGAAAGUGAUAAGUAAGCCACCUGGGGAGUACGCCCGCAAGGGUGAAACUCAAAGGAAUUGACGGGGGCCCGCACAAGCGGAGGAGCAUGUGGUUUAAUUCGAUGAUACGCGAGGAACCUUACCUGAACUUAAAUGGUGGACGACGGUUGCAGAAAUGUGACUUUCUUUUAGACGUCCAUCAAGGUGCUGCAUGGUUGUCGUCAGCUCGUGCCGUGAGGUGUUGGGUUAAGUCCCGCAACGAGCGCAACCCCUAUCGUUAGUUGCCAGCAUUAAGUUGGGGACUCUAGCAAGACUGCCGGCGUAAGCCGCGAGGAAGGUGGGGACGACGUCAAAUCAUCAUGGCCUUUAUGCCUAGGGCGACACACGUGCUACAAUGGUGCAUACAGGAGGUUGCCAAGCCGCGAGGUGGAGCUAAUCCCAGAAAGUGCAUCCCAGUUCGGAUUGGAGU
rnacentral:rRNA from 1 species